CAAUAGCGUAUAUUAAAGUUGUUGCAGUUAAAAAGCUCGUAGUUGGAUUUCUGGUGGGAGCGAUCGGUCUGGCGCUUAGCGCGAGUACUUGCAUCGUCUCCGGCCAUCCUUGGGGAGAGUCUGUCUGGCAUUAGGUUGUCGGGCAGAGGAUCCUCAUCGUUUACUGUGAAAAAAUUAGAGUGUUCAAAGCAGGCUUAUGCCGUUGAAUAUAUUAGCAUGGAAUAAUAAGAUAGGACUUUGGUACUAUUUUGUUGGUUUGCGCACCAAAGUAAUAAUUAAUAGGGACAGUUGGGGGUAUUCGUAUUCCGUUGUCAGAGGUGAAAUUCUUGGAUUUACGGAAGACGAACUACUGCGAAAGCAUUUACCAAGGAUGUUUUCAUUAA
rnacentral:rRNA from 1 species